GCACCAGUAGCUCAGUGGAUAGAGUACCUGGCUACGAACCAGGUGGUCAGAGGUUCAAGUCCUCUCUGGUGCGUCA
rnacentral:tRNA from 3 species